GACGAACGCUGGCGGCGUGCUUAACACAUGCAAGUCGAACGGAAAGACCCUGCUUUUGUGGGGUGCUCGAGUGGCGAACGGGUGAGUAACACGUGAGUAACCUGCCCUUGACUUUGGGAUAACUUCAGGAAACUGGGGCUAAUACCGGAUAGGAGCUCCUGCUGCAUGGUGGGGGUUGGAAAGUUUCGGCGGUUGGGGAUGGACUCGCGGCUUAUCAGCUUGUUGGGGGGGUAGUGGCUUACCAAGGCUUUGACGGGUAGCCGGCCUGGGAGGGUGACCGGCCACAUUGGGACUGAGAUACGGCCCAGACUCCUACGGGAGGCAGCAGUGGGGAAUAUUGCACAAUGGGCGGAAGCCUGAUGCAGCAACGCCGCGUGCGGGAUGACGGCCUUCGGGUUGUAAACCGCUUUCGCCUGUGACGAAGCGUGAGUGACGGUAAUGGGUAAAGAAGCACCGGCUAACUACGUG
rnacentral:rRNA from 1 species